GAUGAAGAACGCAGCGAAAUGCGAUAAGUAAUGUGAAUUGCAGAAUUCAGUGAAUCAUCGAAUCUUUGAACGCACAUUGCGCCCCCUGGUAUUCCGGGGGGCAUGCCUGUUCGAGCGUCAUUACAACCCUCAAGCUCUGCUUGGUGUUGGGGCCUGCUGCACUGGCAGCCCUUAAAAUCAGUGGCGGCGCCAUCUGGCUCUAAGCGUAGUAAUUCUUCUCGCUAUGGAGUCCUGGUGGAUGCUUGCCAUCAACCCCCAAUUUUUCUAUGGUUGACCUCGGAUCAGGUAGGGAUACCCGCUGAACUUAAGCAUAUCAUAAGCGGAGGA
rnacentral:misc_RNA from 1 species